UUUCUAGAAUUCUUCUUUACUUUCUAGUAUUCUCCACUUCUUUGUCAUUACAGUUUCUAAUGUAUCCCUGCUGAUGUUUAGAAAACAUUAUUGGUCUUAUUAUAUUGAAUCGAUUCCAAUUUCCUAAACUCUUGCCAAUUCAAAUAGUUUUUAUCAUGGAUUAAAAAAAAA